rnacentral:misc_RNA from 1 species
AAGUCGUAACAAGGUUUCCGUAGGUGAACCUGCGGAAGGAUCAUUAACACGUAUCCAACGUUAAACCCCCUCCGUGAACCUUCAAACGCAGUGCCUUGGCGCUAAGAGGGCUUAAUCAACCCAACGCGGGUGUAGCCAAUUAACAGCAAUCUCUGCACUCCGUCGUAAGUGUCAUUGGUUGUGUAAGGAUUUCGCUUGACGAUCACUAGAGGCCGCUCACCGGCCGGUGGAUUAACUUACAGAUCCUUCAAUGGAUUCCUCCCCGACCCCAAUUUUUACUACCGCUCCGCGCUUAACAGCGUGGGGCACUUAAGAAAAACGUACUAAACAACUGUUAACAAUGGAUAUCUUGGUUCUC